GUGUCAGCAGCCGCGGUAAUACGGGGGGGGCAAGCGUUGUUCGGAAUUACUGGGCGUAAAGGGCGCGUAGGCGGUUUGCUAAGUUGGAUGUGAAAACUCUGGGCUUAACCCAGAGCCUGCAUCCAAAACUGGCAAACUUGAGUACUGGAGGGGAAAGCGGAAUUCCUGGUGUAGCGGUGAAAUGCGUAGAUAUCAGGAGGAACACCGGUGGCGAAGGCGGCUUUCUGGACAGUAACUGACGCUGAGGCGCGAAAGCUAGGGGAGCAAACAGGAUUAGAUACCCCCGUAGUCC
rnacentral:rRNA from 1 species